rnacentral:lncRNA from 1 species
CUUUUCUAGGCUUAGUACCACUUCUUUAGUUCCAGUCCAUCUUCUUGCCUUGAGCUAGAACCUGUUGGCUCUUUCUAUACCUUGAGAGACUCCAGGUCUCAAAGUGGGAGAGGAAAGGUUGAGCUGUGCUCCUCCUUGAAGAAGUCGAUCAGUUGGUCUCUUUUUCUUUUUUCUUUUUCAGAAACAGGUCUCACUAAAUUGUUGAGUAUCUUAAAUUGCUGAAGCUGCCUUCAAAUUUGCAAUCCUCCUGCCUCAGACUCCCAAGUUACUGGGAUUACAAGUGUGAGUCACCCUGCCUGGCUAAUUGGUCAUCUUUUUGACCUCAAAAAGUGAGAUGAUGAUGGCCACACCACCUGGGAUGAUGUCCAGGCUUUAGCAUUUACAGCAGAUCUUCCUCAUUCCAUUCGCAGUACUUUCUGCCCUAGUGACCAGGUUGGUAGGGCUGCCCUGAAGUCAACCUGGCUUUUCACUUUCCUAGCUUCAAAAGGCAUGUGCUAAAGAAGUUGGUCCUAGCCUGACCACUGAGAACCUGACUCCUUUCACCAUUGCUUCAGAGAAGGGCUUGUCAUCCCUCUGACUGUCAGAGUCAUGGGUUCUUCUACCUCCUAAAACUUAUGGAGAUGCCACCUUCAAACAGUCGUAAGACAGAAUGUUGGUUUAAGUGAAUUUUCCCCUGUCUCCCUUUUCCUGGACUUAGCCUCAUUUGUCCAGGACUCCUAUGCCAUCUGAGCCUCCUCUCAGCGGUCCCUUCAUCAUUCUGUAGUACCCUCCCUAAGACUGCCUUGCCCGUGUCUACCCUGUGGGACCACACAGGCUUUCUUGGUGUUGAUUCCCAGCCAGUUUCAAGCUUCCCGGUUCCUAAUUCCUCCCAACCCAGUGUCUGUGUCCUCCAUCCUUCCUUUCCUUCCACAUGACAGCUCACUCUUGUAGAUCUACAGCACUCUCCUUGGUAAUCGGAAUGCAAAAUUUAAUAAGACAUGGUCUCAGAUACUUUUAUACCAUGUGGUACUGGAUGUUAUGGGACACAAGAGGGAAUAAUCACUGGAGGGUGGGGAGAGUACAGGAAAGAUUGGUUAGGAGCUGUUUUGAAAUGAGCCAAGUUUUGAAAUACAAGUAGAGGUUCUCACAAGGGGAGACAGGAUUCCAGGCUGAGAGAACGAUGUAAACAAAGAUCCAGGGCUUUGUUCCAUACGUGUGACACAUUCCAGAAUCUGCCACAGUGUAUGUGGCUGGAGUAUAAGGUAUGUAGGAGGCAGGAAGGAGGAGAUCUGAGAGGUCCUGGAAGUUGGCUCACAGGGACUCUCUGGUAUCCUGAUAAUAAGCUCAGACAUUAUCCUAAAGGCAGUGGUGAGCCCUUUAAUUUUUUAAACCAGAGAGUGACACAAUCUGGUUUCCAUUUUUGGAAGAUUACUGUGGUUCUGGGUGGAGGCAGAGCUGUUUUUUUUUUUUUCUUCCUUUAUUCCAAU